GAACCUUACCUGGACUUGACAUCCCAGGAAUCCCCUGGAAACAGGGAGUGCCCUUCGGGGAGCCUGGUGACAGGUGCUGCAUGGCUGUCGUCAGCUCGUGUCGUGAGAUGUUGGGUUAAGUCCCGCAACGAGCGCAACCCUAUUGUUAGUUGCCAUCAUUCAGUUGGGCACUCUAGCGAGACUGCCGGUAAUAAACCGGAGGAAGGUGGGAUGACGUCAAAUCAUCAUGCCCCUUAUGACCUGGGCUACACACGUGCUACAAUGGUUGGUACAACGAGUUGCGAGUCGGUGACGGCGAGCUAAUCUCUUAAAGCCAAUCUCAGUUCGGAUUGUAGGCUGCAACUCGCCUACAUGAAGUCGGAAUCGCUAGUAAUCGCGGAUCAGCACGCCGCGGUGAAUACGUUCCCGGGCCUU
rnacentral:rRNA from 1 species